rnacentral:lncRNA from 1 species
GUUUUCACAGGAUCAAAACAUUCGUUUCUUUAUUCGUUUCUUUAUCUAUAAUCAAGAUUGGUCAGGCACACCACAGCAUUUGUAUAUACAUAUGGAUAUUACGUAAAAAGCACAAGUACACAAAUCUAAGUGAUAUAGCUAGCACAAGCAUAUAGAUACAUAGUGCAGGUGUACGUACCCUAGCAUGCAUGCAAGCUUGCUAAGUACAAGGCAUCUAAAGAAAGCUUCUCAUGGCUUAGCUUCUUCACUCCCAAUGUCAUGACCACUUCCCGGCAUGUUUCCGGGGCUACUCCAGCUAUCAUACUCGGGCCUUGGUAUGGCAUGAUGGUUGUCCACCGACGUCCCCUCCGUCCCAGCCUUCACUAUGUGUACUAACUGAUCCCUUGCCGCCGCCAUGUGAGGUGACGCCGUGGAAGCAUUGAGGAUGAGCAUAGCAAGGAGAAAAGGAGGCAUAAGCUUCAUGGUGAAAGAAGUGAGAUCUUGGAACAGACAGCAGGGAGAUGGAAGAUAGGAAACACGGCCCUAUGAGUUGUUCAGCUCUGAUUACCGUUUUGGUUCUUAAGGCCUCAUGCUUGGUACGUAAUU